CCUGACGUGUCAUUGCUAAGGCAAUGCUUGCAUGAUGGGAAUAACAAGUUAAUGCGUCUGAUGGCAAAAGAAAAAAAUAUCUUCACUGCUUAGUAUAAUAACUUUCAAAGGCUGCUUUUGGCUAUUUAUCACUCUGCUGAUUUUAUAUUUAACAAGACACAAUGCCAAAUUAUAGCAUGUCACACGUUCAUAAAUUAGAGAUGCUCUGUGGAUUUUUACCAAUUUGAUGCUUUGACGGAGGUUCAUUUUUGUACAUUUCUGCAUAAGACAUGUGUUCCCCUGCUGGUCUGGAGGUCUUUCCACCUUUGUCUUCCCAGCAUCGCCUCACUUUCUCUCACAGGUGACAGCUCUGCUGGGUCGCUUGUCUACUUGGGUUGAGGUUCACUCCACCUUCACAUGACAUAUGGGAUAAGGACACAAGGAAGGACCAGAGAUAAGCCCAGCUGCUGACCGAGCUUGAUGGCGAUUGCUUGGCACCCAAUGUGCCACAUGGUGCAGGAGGAAAUAAGUCCAAGUCUAACACAUCAUGUGACCAGUAUUUUGAUUUGCUGAUCAGUAGCUGGUGAAGAGGAAUGAUGAGGUAACUUUCUGAAAUAAAGUAGAGUAAAUGGAAAUAUUGACUGCAUACCCAAGAGGCCAGAGUACAAAAUUUUGUGAACGGAGACCCUCCCUUCCUUGUCAAAAAGCCAAUGGUGUUCUUUUGGGAUUUUCUUUUUCACCAUUGGCCCCACUGCACAUGUCAGCAAAAGGCGCUGAGACAGCAGGGCCCAGUAGCCCCUAUCUGAGCUUGCUAAGCCACUGAAUGUUUUUGUGUCCCCCUCUCCCCCCCGAUUCACUAAGUCUGCACUGAAACCAGCUGUUCAAACAUAAGUAUAGACAUCUGAAGAAAAAAAGCGUUUAUUAUAUUAUUAACAGUGUGCUCCUAACUGCCCAGUCUUGUCAGUAUGCCAGUAUUUCUCUUUGAUUCAGCUAGCAUUACAACUGAAAGAGGAAAAUCUAUCUUCCUGUGAAACUGUUAUAAAAAUAUAAACAUUCAAAAUUAAAAAUCAA